UGAUGUUGGUGGGAUAAUGGGUUUUAUAGCGAUGUGUCUCAGAGCGAGAUAAAUAUUUGGAAAUAAUAAAAAUGUAAAACUACACAUUUUUCAAUUAGACGUUUAAUGUAAUAUUUUGAUUUAUUAUAUUGUAUUUUUACUUAGUAUUAUUUUCUUAAAUUUUAUACUUACUUAUUCUAAUUUUUUUGCUUUUUCAGAUAGAUGUAAUAUUUGGAAAUAAUUAAAAUAUAAAACUAUACAUUAUUUAAGAUAUAUAUUUAAUGUAAUAUUUAUUAAUAUUGUAAUGUUACCAUUUCUUAAAAAUAUUUGAAAAUAAUUAAAAUGUAAAACUAUACAUUAUUUCA
rnacentral:lncRNA from 1 species